rnacentral:tRNA from 1 species
GCGGGGUUAGCUCAGCUGGGAGAGCGUCAGACUGAAGUCCACUUCAAUCAUCGAGGUAAUCGGUAUCUGAAGGCCGUGCGUUCGAUCCGCACACACCGCA